rnacentral:rRNA from 1 species
UUAGAGUUUGAUCCUGGCUCAGGAUGAACGCUGGCGGCGUGCCUAACACAUGCAAGUCGAGCGAUUCUCUUCGGAGAAGAGCGGCGGACGGGUGAGUAACGCGUGGGUAACCUGCCCUGUACACACGGAUAACAUACCGAAAGGUAUGCUAAUACGAGAUAAUAUGCUUUUAUCGCAUGGUAGAAGUAUCAAAGCUUUUGCGGUACAGGAUGGACCCGCGUCUGAUUAGCUAGUUGGUAAGGUAACGGCUUACCAAGGCGACGAUCAGUAGCCGACCUGAGAGGGUGAUCGGCCACAUUGGAACUGAGACACGGUCCAAACUCCUACGGGAGGCAGCAGUGGGGAAUAUUGCACAAUGGGCGAAAGCCUGAUGCAGCAACGCCGCGUGAGCGAUGAAGGCCUUCGGGUCGUAAAGCUCUGUCCUCAAGGAAGAUAAUGACGGUACUUGAGGAGGAAGCCCCGGCUAACUACGUGCCAGCAGCCGCGGUAAUACGUAGGGGGCUAGCGUUAUCCGGAAUUACUGGGCGUAAAGGGUGCGUAGGUGGUUUCUUAAGUCAGAGGUGAAAGGCUACGGCUCAACCGUAGUAAGCCUUUGAAACUGGGAAACUUGAGUGCAGGAGAGGAGAGUGGAAUUCCUAGUGUAGCGGUGAAAUGCGUAGAUAUUAGGAGGAACACCAGUUGCGAAGGCGGCUCUCUGGACUGUAACUGACACUGAGGCACGAAAGCGUGGGGAGCAAACAGGAUUAGAUACCCUGGUAGUCCACGCCGUAAACGAUGAGUACUAGCUGUCGGAGGUUACCCCCUUCGGUGGCGCAGCUAACGCAUUAAGUACUCCGCCUGGGAAGUACGCUCGCAAGAGUGAA